rnacentral:rRNA from 1 species
AUUGAACGCUGGCGGCAUGCUUUACACAUGCAAGUCGAACGGCAGCGAGAGAGAAGCUUGCUUCUCUUGUCGGCGAGUGGCGAACGGGUGAGUAAUACAUCGGAACGUACCCUGUAGUGGGGGAUAACUACUCGAAAGAGUAGCUAAUACAGCAUACAACCUGAGGGUAAAAGUGGGGGACCGCAAGGCCUCACGCAAUAGGGGCGGACGAUGGAAGGUUAGCUAGUUGGUAGGGUAAAGGCCUACCAAGGCGACGAUCUUUAGCGGGUCUGAGAGGACGAUCCGCCACACUGGGACUGAGACACGGCCCAGACUCCUACGGGAGGCAGCAGUGGGGAAUUUUGGACAAUGGGCGAAAGCCUGAUCCAGCAAUGCCGCGUGAGUGAAGAAGGCCUUCGGGUUGUAAAGCUCUCUUGUUUGGGAAGAAAUCCUAACGGAUAAUACCUGUUGGGGAUGACGGUACCAAAAGAAUAAGCACCGGCUAACUACGUGCCAGCAGCCGCAGUAACAC